UUUAAAAAACUGGAAAAAUGAAAUUAAUAUUAGAUAUUUGUGUUAUUUAUACCCAACGCAACAAGUGAUUGGUGAACAAACCUGGCGAAAUCCAGCCUAGUUCAGUGGACGUAACUAAACAUGGAUACAUAACCUUCAAGCAAAGUUUCAACAUCUAAUUGGGAUUUCUCUGGAAAGUUUACAAUGUCCGAUAUUUCUACACAUCUGCCACAAAUUUAUGGAAAUCAAUAUUUAUAGAAACUGAACAUACCUUGGUUAAACGUAUAUGAAAUGGAUUAUCAUCAUUGAAGAACAUCAACCAGCUGUUGGCAACAUGCAGGUUGACUGAGGAAUCCCCAGUGCGUGGUCACGGACCGUUCCCCAUAUAUCUACUGACUUCAUAUAAAUGAAAGUCUCGCUGAUCUGCACAACCAGCUCAUGUUCAACGUUACUGAACUACAAAGUAAUCCGACAAUCAGACUAGACCCGGUCAUAUCAGAUACCAGAGGAAGACGAAAAUAUAAUUGAUUCUGUACUGAUGCACGACCUCGCCCGGAACGCGGCAAGAAUUAACAAUGGAAUAAAAUACUACAGACGUGUUUAUUAACGAUAAAGUUAUUUUAGUUUUUAUGAAAUAGCGAUUGAAUAAAAAUAUUAGGUAUA
rnacentral:lncRNA from 1 species